GGGAAGCAGACUGAAGCCUUCGGGCGGACGUCUGUGGAACGAGCGGCGGAUGGGUGAGUAACACGUGGGCAACCUGCCUGUAAGCUCGGGAUAACUAGCGGAAACGCUAGCUAAUACCGAAUAACGCUGCGCACCGCAUGGCGCGCAGAUGAAAGGCGGCGCAAGCUGCCACUUACAGAUGGGCCCGCGGCGCAUUAGCUAGUUGGUGGGGCAACGGCCUACCAAGGCGACGAUGCGUAGCCGACCUGAGAGGGUGAUCGGCCACACUGGGACUGAGACACGGCCCAGACUCCUACGGGAGGCAGCAGUAGGGAAUAUUCCGCAAUGGGCGAAAGCCUGACGGAGCGACGCCGCGUGAGCGAUGAAGGUCUUCGGAUCGUAAAGCUCUGUUGUUAGGGAAGAACAAGUACCGGAGUAACUGCCGGUACCUUGACGGUACCUAACCAGAAAGCCACGGCUAACUACGUGCCAGCAGCCGCGGUAAUACGUAGGUGGCAAGCGUUGUCCGGAAUUAUUGGGCGUAAAGCGCGCGCAGGCGGUCCUUUAAGUCUGAUGUGAAAUCUUGCGGCUCAACCGCAAGCGGUCAUUGGAAACUGGGGGACUUGAGUGCAGGAGAGGAAAGCGGAAUUCCAUGUGUAGCGGUGAAAUGCGUAGAGAUAUGGAGGAACACCAGUGGCGAAGCGGCUUUCUGGCCUGUAACUGACGCUGAGGCGCGAAAGCGUGGGGAGCAAACAGGAUUAGAUACCCUGGUAGUCCACGCCGUAAACGAUGAGUGCUAAGUGUUGGAGGGGUUUCCGCCUUUCAGUGCUGCAGCAAACGCAUUAAGCACUCCGCUGGGGGAGU
rnacentral:rRNA from 1 species